AUUUCAUUAUGGAACAUCAAUGGAUUUAAUAGGAUCUGGAAGCUCUCCUUUGCAUAUGCUGCUUGUGGAGGAAAUUUAAAAUGCUGUCAGAUCCUUCUUGCAAGGGGUGCUAGUCGUAUGUCCUAACUGCAAGGGUAAUUAAUUGCCUAUGGUUUUGUUACAGAACUCAGCACAAACCAAGAUCCUAUAACACAGUUAAUCAAACAAGAUCACCAAUAACAACACAAAGAUUUAACGUGAUUCACUUAUCUUUUUAUGGAUAAGCUACAUCCACGAUGAGCUCAAGAAAAGGUAUGAGCUCGCUGCGCUAACUAUUACCAGAAGAAUCAAAAUUACAACACUUCCAAACAAACACCCAAAUAACCCGUACAAUAACCUGUAAUCAGCCAAAGAGAAACUCACUGAGAAUCCCUAACCCGAGAGAACAACACUCUCACCCAAAUGAUUAAGACCCCUAACCACUCAAACCUGAUUACACAAACAACAGCAAGAAACGUUCUCAACUCUAACUCCUUAAUCGCACAAAGAAACCCUACAGUGUUCUCUGUUUUUGCUUUUGUAGAAAAGUGAGUUUAUAUAUGGUUGACUAAGUGGGCUGUAUUUUGGUUGUUGGAUCUAUAGUGAAUCUUGUAGUUGAGAUUGAUUUGGUAGCUUGUCUAAAACGAUGACGUCUUUCUUUACUCAAAACGGAACUGUUUCAGGCUUCCAUUUAACAGGCUUCUCUUGCAAUGUGUGUUGUAUAGAAUUCAAACAUUGGUUGAUUUUGUUUAUGAUUGGGAGGUAAUAAAUAACAUAUUCCUGUUUGUGCAAAUAUGACACGUGUAGACGUAAAAAUCUACCUGUAGGGGGGGGAGGGUCUGAUCUCGUGAGGUCAGGAAAGUAACUUUGAGUAGGAAAGUGACCUCGAAUAGGAGAUUGAUCGGGAAUAGGAAAGUGACGUGGGGGCCGUGGGCUCUGAACUCGCUCAUAGGUCCAAGAAGUGAGCUAGGAUUGGGAGGCUUGUGCCCAUAUGGUUUGGGCUGG